UACGGAGGGUGCGAGCGUUGUCCGGAAUCACUGGGCGUAAAGGGCGCGUAGGCGGCUCAUGAAGGCUGUGGUGAAAGUCCGGGGCUCAACCUCGGAUCGGCCGUGGCGACUCGUGGGCUGGAGCACUGUAGAGGCGGGUGGAAUUCCGGGUGUAGCGGUGGAAUGCGUAGAGAUCCGGAAGAACACCAGUGGCGAAAGCGGCUCACUGGGUCUCUUCUGACGCUGAGGCACGAAAGCGAGGGGAGCGAACGGG
rnacentral:rRNA from 1 species